GACGAACGCUGGCGGCGUGCUUAACACAUGCAAGUCGAGCGGUAAGGCCCUUUCGGGGGUACACGAGCGGCGAACGGGUGAGCAACACGUGGGUGACCUGCCCUCAGCUCUGGGAUAAGCCUGGGAAACCGGGUCUAAUACCGGAUAUGACUCCAUGACGCAUGUUGUGGGGUGGAAAGCCUUGUGCGGCUGAGGAUGGGCCCGCGGCCUAUCAGCUUGUUGGUGGGGUGAUGGCCUACCAAGGCGACGACGGGUAGCCGGCCUGAGAGGGCGACCGGCCACACUGACACUGAAUAACGGGUCAGACUCCUACGGGAGGCAGCAGUGGGGAAUCUUGCGCAAUGGGCGAAAGCCUGACGCAGCGACGCCGCGUGAGGGAUGACGGCCU
rnacentral:rRNA from 1 species